GUGAGGUUUUUCCAAUGCUUUUAAUAUUCCGAAAAUACCCCUGUCCCUAAACUGUACCCCGGCUGGUUUAAGGCCGUUUCGGCAAUGGCGAGACGUCACUGUUCAGCAGGUAAUAAACAAGAAGGCUCCUGCGAGUCACGCCAAUGCGUCUCACUGCUUGCACUGCCUCCAAACCCCAUUCCCGCCUCAUCCUACGGUCACGGAUGGCCCAUCCAUUGUCUUGUCGCCGGUCUCAUCCAUACCCUGCUCUGUCUCCUUUCUUGCCCGCUGUUCCUCGAGCGACUCCUUCCCUGCUCUGUCUUCUUCACUGCUUCUUUAACUGUCAUUGCUCUUCUCCCCGCCACUUUCACCAUUGUUGUGUCCUAUUGCUUCCUUCCACUUUUUCGGACUUCCUCCGUCCAGCGCCGUCCCUUCAGCCCAACAAUUUCCUUCACUCCUUGUAUUUAUAAGUCUGCCCCCCCCCCCCCCCCCCCCCCCCCAACACACACACACACACACACACAAAAACAAUUACUUUCUCUGCUUCCGGCUUCUCCGACCAGACAUUCCGCCUCUGAUCCUUGUGCUGCCUCCCUCGCCACUGGCCUCCUCUUGGCCCAACCCACGCCUACCCGUUAACGCCACAGAGCUGAGGUUGGCUGCUUUUACCUACCCAACCACCGUGUACUCGCUCACCAAUUCGUGUCUUUUUACCUAUUCCCCAUCGUGCCUGCCUGUCCACGGAGUGGUCUGCGAAUCGUGCCUUAUACAUUGCUUCACACACGUUCAGACACUCCUCCAUUUCUACUUCCGAAAUGCUCCAUUUUUCCCGCCCUCAAGCUGCUUGAUCAAAUGCCUAUCACAGUCAUCCCAUUCUCUGCAGCGCCAGUUGAUCGAAAUUUGCACAAAAUAGAUGAAGUGUCACUUCAAUCCGAUCGGUGUUUUCGAUUUCUACAAGAGACAUGAGUUGUUCUGUUGAAAUUCUGAAACACUUCAGAAAAGAAACAAAAGGAACUGUACCGACUUUUUAUUUUUAUUUUCCAGAACUGAAACUGUACCGACUUACUGCACAGCUACAUACAUGACCUUCCAACAUUUUGCAUUUGGCCAUUCUUUUGGAUCUGCAAUCCACCUAUUAAUUGGUAAUUAAUACUUUCAUGGCAUCAUUUUCUGUGAUUUCAUGAUAGGUUGGGCAACUUAUGUAUCUGUUCCCCAUUGACUUAAGGAUCAAGAAAUGCUGUGCCAAAAAAAUGGGAUCUUGUUGAUGCCAUUCGAUAGCAAGGAACAUGAGUCGUGAUUGAAGCAAAUCGAGUUUCAUGGAUUGUUGGUGUCGAAUAAAUUCUUCAAGUGAUGAUGUUUCCCAUUAUAAGGUAUUGCAGGGACAUCUUUAGGAGUGGGUUUUGCGAUCCCAUCUUCGUUUUUUUCUAGAGAAACAGAACCCAGGUCCAUUCGAUCCCAUCUUCUACUGGAAUUGGCCAGUGUUCACUGUUCAGUCGGCUCAUUGAUCAUCACAUGUCUCUGCAAAUUGCAGCCAUUAACCCUCCAAACCCAUGCGACCAGCCUGACCAGAUCUGAUGAUCCUUAGAGCCAUCAGUUCAUCAGCGCACAAGCUUCUUGCUAAAGACUCCUGGGAUAAUGAGGGCUUGAUCUGGAAACUCAUAUUUUUGGAGACGGAGAGGGCCUCAUACAAUCUGAAAGUUCCUUUGGAUUGCGGCCCAUAACCGACUUCUCACCAAUAGUUCCAUGCUUCGUGGAACUUAUCUCACUCUUGCCUGUGCGGCUGCUGCAGUUUAGGGGUGGAGUCUUUCACUCAUGUGUAUCAAUAUGCGAGCUACGUGGGAGACCAUUGUCCCCCAGGUAUUCCGUGACUCUUUCUUCUCUCCUCCCCUCUUGGACUGGCUUACUUUCAACGUCCUCUCUAAAGAGGGUUCUCGUACUGCCCGGUCUUGUUGGGCAAGUGUAUUUGCUAUCUCCUGUUGGUUACUGUAAUCUUGGCAGAAUGAGGAGCUUUUUGAACAGCUGCUUCCUUCCUGCCGGCUUACAACGAUUGCUGUCGUUUGUUGGGACCCGUUAGGGAGUGCAAAUUAGAGGGCUGGAAGAUGUUAGGACCACUCGGAGAUGUUACCAAAUCCAAGUCGAUGAUGCGAUCCAAGUUGGAAGAUUUUUUUUUUCUUUUUAAUAACAAAUUAAUUCCAGGAAUAUCUUUAAGUCAUAGCUUCAUAUAUAUACAUGUCCAUGAAAGUAGUUUGGGUGGAAGUAGGCUAAUUAUUCAAACUCACUCAUUUUGGUUUCUUUGAAGUCGUUCGAACUCAAAUUUGUACAUAUAGCAAUUUGUUAAUUUUGCUUUGAGAUACUGGAUUUGAGUAAUAUGCUUGAGUCUUGUUAUUCUUAUCAAUUUAAGUGAAUUAACAAGAACUAUUUGUUGAUUAA